CUGCUUUGCAGCAAACUGACGCAGUGUACACCUACUCCAGAGCACUAGUGCCUGCUAAUUAUUUACAGCACUAUUUUUGCUCUCAAUAUUAAACUAUGUGGUUUCCCUAUUAGUUCUACUGCAGACAGCAGACACUGGGGUGAAGCCUACAAGCACCCCCUCUUUUCACUACCGAUUCAGCUGUUUCUCUGCUCAUGGGCACCUCCAUCCAAGGUUUAGAAAACUCAAAUCCAUCCUCUCAUUCUGGAGUCCUCGGAUAGGAACAGUAUCUACAGACACAUUUUUUUGUUGAAGGACAAACCAUAAAUAAAUCCAAAUUUUGAUUUCUUAACAAAUGGUGGUAGAAUUGAGUAAGAGUCAAACUCAGAGAGAGUCUCUAACUGGGAGGAAGUGUGUGCAGAUGUGAACAUUGCCCAGUGGAACGUGUGUGUGUGUGACCAGAGCACCCGAGACCUUACCAGCUCGCAACAACCACGAUGGCAACCGUGACGAUGACAAUGACAUUGGCUCACAUUGAUUAGGCGUGGACCCUGGGCCAAUGGUUGCUGUCUGUAGUACCCUAAUUUGGGGACCGAUGGCUUGUUGGCCGGCUUCCUGCAGGACAAGGCUACCUUGAGCGGGACCACACUCCAGCAACCAUCAGCUUCACCAUGAAGGCCCAUCACAUCUUUGUCACACCUAGGGCACCGGAAUAACAGACUCUGCUCGCUUCCCCGUGUGUAGGGGAGAGGGCACUGCGGGGCUAGGAGUCUUCAUGCUUCCUCAUCGUCAGGAGAAAAGAGAUUUUCACCAGUGAGCGCUUUUGCAAGCCGUCAGCUAGCAACCGCUGGCGCUAAUGCACUCACAGCUCCGCCUAACUGAGGUCUCUAACGCCUUGAGGAGCAGGCACUGAAGAAAGGCCACAUGCACAAGUGGGGUGACAGCAGCCACCUACAAGCUAGAAAAGGGGCAUCACCAGGAACCAACCAUGCUGGUACCUUGAUCUAAGCCUCCAGCCUCCAGGACUGAUAGCUCCACCCCAACCCAGAGAGCAAGGCCGUGCACACCUUAGCAUCCUUGAUGGAAAUUGACACUCAAAUAUGGAUUGGUCUCAUUCAAAUUCAAUUCAGCAUUUCAGGCCACUUGAGGAAAGGUCUGUCUACGUUUGUGAACGGAUGCUUUUUGCAAAUAAUUCAAGAAGAGGUCCAGCUUUCUAUCUUUAGGAUUGUAUUCUAACUGCGGUAAUGUUUCCUAAAGAUACUGUUUGAGAGAACUCCUUUUGAGACUUCCACGUACAAAUUGAAAUUAUGGAUUGAUUCCCUUAGUAGGUAGGUGUUAAUGGGUUUUCCUUACUCUGGACAAUGCUUUAAAAUUGUUUUUCAUCCCUCUGAAGUAGUUCAAAUCUCCAACCUGCCAUCGUGUUUAUGUUAUUUCUUCAUGGUAAGAGCCCUUUAUAAUCACAAAGGUAAGUAAGUGCCAGCUCCCCCUUUAUCCGAACCACUGUGAUUUCCCAGAAAGUUAAACCAGAAUUAGUGAAGUUUAAUGACAUGUGCAUUUUACAAAAUAAGUUCUCUUCCCUAAUUGAUUUACAUUUUGCUAAAGCUCUGUCUUUUCGUAGCACGUCCAUUACUACUUGGGAAAGAAAAAAAAGGCCCCAAAAUGUUUUGGGGGGCUGCUUUCCCACUGCUCCCCUCCAUCCUAGACGGGGUGUCCAUUCUUUCUCUGAAACGUAUCGCAACACCGUUGCAAUAACAGCAGACAAGGGAAGGACUGGCUUCUUGGGAACUCACUGCACCUCCACUUAGAAACUCAGGUGGCCCAGCGCUCACAGCAGCCGAUGAAGAUAAGAGUGUUUGAUUGUCACACAGGAUACUUAACCCAGCGGGGCUGCUCUGUCCUCACUGGGAAGAGGGUCACAGUGCAUUUCCUUUCCUCCAGUGGAUCUGGGCUUGUUAUCUGUAGGAAGCACUCUGCAAAGCCUUCCUGGAUUAUUGAUGAAGCAGCUGAAGAAGCUUCUCUGUACUUACGUUCUGGACAGCACAGCCUACGCAUCCUGAGACCCUUCACCUGGGGGGAAGGGCCCUCCUGUCCUUCUUGUGCAAUGGCAGUGGCUGUGCCCUCCUGUGACUCUGUUUCCUGCCCCACCCUCUCCAGCUGCUGCUCCCCACUGCCCAUAGGGGGCUUGGCCACGAGUGUCUGUAUCCAGAAUCCUUGAGAAACAUUCCGUGCUCCCUGGAGCACUUCCAUUAUUAACUCCAAACAUCUUCAGCACGGUACCCAACGCCCUCCACAGUUUCCCCUCAUCUAAAUGCUUUGGCUUCUCUCUUAUUACAGCUUCCCAAGCAUGUGACUCAACCCCCCUGGGUCUGAACAUGAUUUGAUGUCUCCUACCUGUGCUCCAGAUGUUCUCCUUCCACGUGUCCUUCCCUUGUCACCAGUUUAGCCAGUGCUGUGUUGAGCCAGGCUGGAGUCCAGGCAAAAGGAAAGACAAACACCCCCGUAUAUACUUAUCAAAAUAUGCUCUCAUAUUUGGAAUCAGAUGUAAAAGUUAAUAACAGUUCUAUCAUUUUUUAAAAAAUGACUAUAGGCUGGGUGUAGUGGCUCACACCUGUGUAUUCCCAGCACAUUGGG